rnacentral:rRNA from 1 species
UACGGAGGGUGCAAACGUUGUCCGGAAUCACUGGGCGUAAAGCGCAUGUAGGUGGUUUGGUAAGUGGGUGAUUAAAGACCGAUGCUUAACAUCGGGACUGUUGCCUAUACUGCCUGACUAGAGAAUGACAGGGGUAAGCGGAACUUUAGGUGUAGGAGUGAAAUCCGUAGAUAUCUAAAGGAACACCAAUGGCGAAGGCAGCUUACUGGGUUUUUUCUGACACUGAGAUGCGAAAGCGUGGGGAGCGAACGGG